rnacentral:lncRNA from 1 species
CUUCUUUUAAUCAAAUGACUCAUGAAUUUUUCCCCUAACAUAUUAAGUAUUUUAGAUAGUGUAAAUCUACAUAUUGUAAAAUAUUUUAAUAUUUUAUCCUAUAACCUUUGUGAAGAAAAGAGAUGUUGUAUGAUCCGCAAAAUUUUCUAUAUGGCCUCUUCACAUUUCUGCAGUGUUAGGAUUAUAUAUUGUAUUCAUUUUCUAUACAAAUUUGAUAUUUGAGCACUAAUCA